ACGAACGCUGGCGGCGUGCCUAAUACAUGCAAGUAGAACGCUGAAGAGAGGAGCUUGCUCUUCUUGGAUGAGUUGCGAACGGGUGAGUAACGCGUAGGUAACCUGCCUUGUAGCGGGGGAUAACUAUUGGAAACGAUAGCUAAUACCGCAUAACAAUGGAUGACACAUGUCAUUUAUUUGAAAGGGGCAAUUGCUCCACUACAAGAUGGACCUGCGUUGUAUUAGCUAGUAGGUGAGGUAACGGCUCACCUAGGCGACGAUACAUAGCCGACCUGAGAGGGUGAUCGGCCACACUGGGACUGAGACACGGCCCAGACUCCUACGGGAGGCAGCAGUAGGGAAUCUUCGGCAAUGGGGGCAACCCUGACCGAGCAACGCCGCGUGAGUGAAGAAGGUUUUCGGAUCGUAAAGCUCUGUUGUAAGUCAAGAACGAGUGUGAGAGUGGAAAAUUCACACUGUGACGGUAGCUUACCAGAAAGGGACCGCUAACUACGUGCCAGCAGCCGCGGUAAUACGUAGGUCCCGAGCGUUGUCCGGAUUUAUUGGGCGUAAAGCGAGCGCAGGCGGUUUGAUAAGUCUGAAGUUAAAGGCUGUGGCUCAACCAUAGUUCGCUUUGGAAACUGUCAAACUUGAGUGCAGAAGGGGAGAGUGGAAUUCCAUGUGUAGCGGUGAAAUGCGUAGAUAUAUGGAGGAACACCGGUGGCGAAAGCGGCUCUCUGGUCUGUAACUGACGCUGAGGCUCGAAAGCGUGGGGAGCGAACAGGAUUAGAUACCCUGGUAGUCCACGCCGUAAACGAUGAGUGCUAGGUGUUGGAUCCUUUCCGGGAUUCAGUGCCGCAGCUAACGCAUUAAGCACUCCGCCUGGGGAGUACGACCGCAAGGUUGAAACUCAAAGGAAUUGACGGGGGCCCGCACAAGCGGUGGAGCAUGUGGUUUAAUUCGAAGCAACGCGAAGAACCUUACCAGGUCUUGACAUCCCGAUGCUAUUUCUAGAGAUAGAAAGUUACUUCGGUACAUCGGUGACAGGUGGUGCAUGGUUGUCGUCAGCUCGUGUCGUGAGAUGUUGGGUUAAGUCCCGCAACGAGCGCAACCCCUAUUGUUAGUUGCCAUCAUUCAGUUGGGCACUCUAGCGAGACUGCCGGUAAUAAACCGGAGGAAGGUGGGGAUGACGUCAAAUCAUCAUGCCCCUUAUGACCUGGGCUACACACGUGCUACAAUGGUUGGUACAACGAGUUGCGAGUCGGUGACGGCAAGCUAAUCUCUUAAAGCCAAUCUCAGUUCGGAUUGUAGGCUGCAACUCGCCUACAUGAAGUCGGAAUCGCUAGUAAUCGCGGAUCAGCACGCCGCGGUGAAUACGUUCCCGGGCCUUGUACACACCGCCCGUCACACCACGAGAGUUUGUAACACCCGAAGUCGGUGAGGUAACCUUUUGGAGCCAGCCGCCUAAGGUGGGAUAGAUGAUUGGGGUG
rnacentral:rRNA from 1 species